CAUGCAGUCGAACGGUAACAGGAAGCAGCUUGCUGCUUCGCUGACGAGUGGCGGACGGGUGAGUAAUGUCUGGGGAUCUGCCUGAUGGAGGGGGAUAACUACUGGAAACGGUAGCUAAUACCGCAUAACGUCGCAAGACCAAAGAGGGGGACCUUCGGGCCUCUUGCCAUCAGAUGAACCCAGAUGGGAUUAGCUAGUAGGUGGGGUAACGGCUCACCUAGGCGACGAUCCCUAGCUGGUCUGAGAGGAUGACCAGCCACACUGGAACUGAGACACGGUCCAGACUCCUACGGGAGGCAGCAGUGGGGAAUAUUGCACAAUGGGCGCAAGCCUGAUGCAGCCAUGCCGCGUGUAUGAAGAAGGCCUUCGGGUUGUAAAGUACUUUCAGCGGGGAGGAAGGGGAAGUGGUUAAUAACCGCUUUCAUUGACGUUACCCGCAGAAGAAGCACCGGCUAACUCCGUGCCAGCAGCGGCGGUAAUAAA
rnacentral:rRNA from 1 species